rnacentral:rRNA from 1 species
UACGUAGGGUGCGAGCGUUGUCCGGAAUUACUGGGCGUAAAGAGCUCGUAGGUGGUUUGUCGCGUUGUUCGUGAAAACUCACAGCUUAACUGUGGGCGUGCGGGCGAUACGGGCAGACUAGAGGUAUGCAGGGGAGAACGGAAUUCCUGGUGUAGCGGUGAAAUGCGCAGAUAUCAGGAGGAACACCGGUGGCGAAGGCGGUUCUCUGGGCAUUACCUGACGCUGAGGAGCGAAAGCCAGGGGAGCAAACGGG